rnacentral:rRNA from 1 species
GACGAACGCUGGCGGCGGGCUUAACACAUGCAAGUCGAACGGAAAGGCCCUGCUUUUGUGGGGUGCUCGAGUGGCGAACGGGUGAGUAACACGUGAGUAACCUGCCCUCGACUUUGGGAUAACUUCAGGAAACUGGGGCUAAUACCGGAUAGGAGCUCCUGCUGCAUGGUGGGGGUUGGAAAGUUUCGGCGGUUGGGGAUGGACUCGCGGCUUAUCAGCUUGUUGGUGGGGUAGUGGCUUACCAAGGCUUUGACGGGUAGCCGGCCUGAGAGGGUGACCGGCCACAUUGGGACUGAGAUACGGCCCAGACUCCUACGGGAGGCAGCAGUGGGGAAUAUUGCACAAUGGGCGGAAGCCUGAUGCAGCAACGCCGCGUGCGGGAUGACGGCCUUCGGGUUGUGAACCGCUUUCGCCUGUGACGAAGCGUGAGUGACGGUAAUGGGUAAAGAAGCACCGGCUAACUACGUG